CCUACGGGAGGCAGCAGUGAGGAAUAUUGGUCAAUGGACGAGAGUCUGAACCAGCCAAGUAGCGUGAAGGAUGACUGCCCUAUGGGUUGUAAACUUCUUUUAUAAAGGAAUAAAACAAGGCACGUGUGCCUUUUUGCAUGUACUUUAUAAAUAAGGAUCGGCUAACUCCGUGCCAGCAGCCGCGGUAAUACGGAGGAUCCGAGCGUUAUCCGGAUUUAUUGGGUUUAAAGGGAGCGUAGAUGGGUUGUUAAGUCAGUUGUGAAAGUUUGCGGCUCAACCGUAAAAUUGCAAUUGAUACUGGCAGUCUCGAGUACAGUUGAGGUAGGCGGAAUUCGUGGUGUAGCGGUGAAAUGCUUAGAUAUCACGAAGAACCCCGAUUGCGAAGGCAGCUUACUAAACUGUGACUGACACUGAUGCUCGAAAGUGUGGGUAUCAAACAGGAUUAGAUACCCGGGUAGUC
rnacentral:rRNA from 1 species